AGUGAACGCUGGCGGUAGGCCUAACACAUGCAAGUCGAACGGCAGCACAGUAAGAGCUUGCUCUUACGGGUGGCGAGUGGCGGACGGGUGAGGAAUACAUCGGAAUCUACUUUUUCGUGGGGGAUAACGUAGGGAAACUUACGCUAAUACCGCAUACGACCUACGGGUGAAAGCAGGGGAUCUUCGGACCUUGCGCGAUUGAAUGAGCCGAUGUCGGAUUAGCUAGUUGGCGGGGUAAAGGCCCACCAAGGCGACGAUCCGUAGCUGGUCUGAGAGGAUGAUCAGCCACACUGGAACUGAGACACGGUCCAGACUCCUACGGGAAGCAGCAGUGGGGAAUAUUGGACAAUGGGCGCAAGCCUGAUCCAGCCAUACCGCGUGGGUGAAGAAGACCUUCGGGUUGUAAAGCCCUUUUGUUGGGAAAGAAAAGCAGCAGGUUAAUACCCCGCUGUUCUGACGGUACCCAAAGAAUAAGCACCGGCUAACUUCGUG
rnacentral:rRNA from 1 species